GCCAGCGCUUGGACGGCGGCGGGUCCUGCUGAGGGGCCACCCGGCUCCACUCCUCGGCUUCCCCGGCGGCAGCCCCCAUGGCGACCAAAGGACUUUAAAGGAGUUCGGGGGCUUGGUCGGCAUCUGGGCGAUUCCGGGAGUUUAAAGAAAGGGCAGAGCCACGACCGAGCCUGGGGUGCAGAAGCGUGCGUGAUAAAGCCGGAGAGCGGCGGCAUGGAAGCUCCCUGACUUCUCGGCGAGAAGUGGCCGCCGCCACCGCUUUGGAGAAGGAAGGGAGGACGACAACUGGAGACAAAGCGAAGAAGGGGCGGGAGGAACGUCUCGCCGGGACAUCUCAAAUCCACCCCUAGCCCGGAUGUGGCUUCGAUUCUUUGGGGAGGGAAGAGCAUUUGGGUGCCGUCCGAAACAGGCGACCUCCCCGCCGCCUCUCUCCCCCCUUUUUUUCCCUUCCCCUUUGUGCACCGCUAGGUCUCCUAGGAGAGCCGGCAGCAGAUCGGGGGUGGGUGGGUUGGCAAAACGGGGCAGCCCGGGGGGCUUCUCGCAACCUCUGGCGACCAGGAACCAUCCCCUGCCUGUCUUAAGGAUCCGGCGAUUCCUGCUCUCGCCGCGCCCUGUCAUUGAUGGGAAAUCAACUGGAUCGCAUCACUCACCUGAGUUACAGCGAGCUGCCGACCGGGGACCCCUCGGGGAUCGAGAAAGACGACCUGCGCGUCGGAGUGGCUUACUUCUUCUCCGACGAGGAGGAGGAUCUGGACGAGCGAGGGCAGCCGGACAAGUACUGCGUGAAGGGCUCGAGCAGCCCGGCCCAAGAGUCCCCCACCCGCCACCACCACCACCACACGCCGCAGCUGGUGCUGAGCGAGACCCAGUUCUCCGCCUUCCGCGGCCAGGAAUGCAUCUUCUCCAAGGUGAGCGGAGACUCCCAGACUGGAGAUUUGAGCGUCUAUCCGGCGUCUUCCCUGCCCGCCCUGUGCAAGCCGGGAGACCUGCUGGAGCUGCUCUACCUGGGCCCGUCCGACCACCCUCCGCCGCCCCCGCAGUGGGCAGUCUAUGUGGGCAACGCUCAGAUCAUCCACUUACACCAGGGCCAGAUUCGGCAGGACAGCUUGUACGAGGCGGCCGCCGGCAACGUGGGCCGGGUGGUGAGUAGCUGGUACCGCUUCCGCCCCCUAGUGGCCGAGCUGGUAGUGCAGAACGCCUGCAGCCACCUGGGCUUAAAGAGCCACGAGAUCUGCUGGACGAACUCGGAGAGCUUCGCCGCUUGGUGCCGCUUCGGCAAACGGGAGUUCAAAGCGGGCGGCGAGCUCCAGCCGGCCUCGGGCUCUCAGCCUCAGCAGCAAUACUAUCUCAAGAUCCACCUGGCGGACAACAAGGGCCACACGGUGCGCUUCCAAAGCUUGGAGGACCUCAUUAGGGAGAAGCGCAGGAUCGAUGCCAGCGGUAAACUGAGGGUGAUCCAAGAGCUGGCGAUCGUGGAUGAUGGCAAAGAAUAAAAAGCGCGAGUGGGGAGGAGGGAGACCGGCCGUGGCCCGAUCGGCAAGCACCACCCGUCUUCCCCUGGGACUCGCACCGCCGCCUGGUUGCUCGGCUUCUUCCGCCUUUUCUCUUCCUCCGGUCUUUCCCAUGGAGGGAAACCCACGGCCACAUUGCAAACGAAACCACCGGCUGCCCUUCCCUUGGCCUCGGCCGGAGGUUGGUUCGCCUCCCGCGAACCGGGAUCGCCGUCACCACGAUCCCGACCACCCGGAGGGAGGGGUGGAGGGGGGUGGGGCCGGCCCCGCGAUGAGCAAAGUCUGUGGACAAAGUCACUCCGUGUUCAUCAUACUUCCCAUCCUGCUUAAAUAAAAAAAAAAUGUUUUAAAAAAAUUACCCCCCCUUUUUUUUCUAAAAAAAAAAAAAAAAAACCCACGUUCCUGGCUUUAAUUCCCUAAGAACCAUGGCGAUUUUUUUGUUGUUAAGCUUUGGACUCCCACAUAUUACACAGCUAUUGUAUGCUCUGGUUCUCUGCCUGCCCAGAAUAUUCUUCAGGAAAACAAAGAAAGGUGAGUAUAGAUUCCAGCCGAUAAUAAGCUGUUUGUUGGUGAUAGUUCUUUGCAAAGCCACAAAGAGAUUGUUGCUGAGUUGCUUGAAAUUCAAACUGAUCACAAGCCCUAUUUGGUUUGAUUUCUUUGUUGUUGUUAAGUACAGAAAAUGUACCUUGAAAGAGCGGAGUGCUUCAUAUAUUUCAAAUCUUUAUUCUAUUGUCUGUCCUCAGUGUUAACAAAUCUGAGUAAAGAAAAACAGGAACAUCUCCCAAAAUAAAGUAUUCUGAGCGGAGUACAUUCUAAUUCUAUUAACAUGAUGUUUUUGUUCAAUUGAUCAAUUUCUUGCAGAUACUCCUACUCUGAAAGCUUGUUAAGCAAUAACAUACAAAAUUAUGCAUUUCUUUGCCCUUCACAAUGCAAUCUUCACAUGUCUUAAAUUAACGAAUAUUUAUUGCUUCAAUAUAUUAUUUUGCUGUAGAAUAACUGACAGUUGAAUAGUGAGCAUGGCAAAAAUACAUCAAAUCUGAGGCUCGGGUAGGAAAGAAAACUGACCUCCAAUGUUAGCCAGUUUAUUAGUUUCAACUGUUCUGAUCUGUAGAAAUUCAUUAAAUAAAUAAGAGGAACCUUUACUUCCUUCAAAUUUAAUAACCUGUAAAUAUUCAAUUGGAAAGAAUCCCACUGAGAAUAUAGUGGGAUACGUGCCUGCUGUUCAUAGCUUGGUGAUAGCUAAAUCGGUGUGGGUUUAACAUUUGUUCAUAUGUUCACCAAUGCAAUGCUUAUUAAUUAUGUGUGAACAGAAACAGUAGAUGUAGUCACACGUGUAUUGCUUUCUGCAAAGUAUUUUGGCACAAUCACACUCUAUUGGUGCUGUAAUCCAUAUGAAGAUCACUGAUACAUCCAAUAGUCAUUGAAGGCUUCCACUUUCCACAUGAAUUGGACUUCACUCCUUAGUAAGGGUAUAAUAUGUAAACCUUCUAAUGCAGAGGUGUCAAACCUGCGUUGUGACAUUGUCAUCACGUGACUUAUCACAACUUUUUUUCCUUUCGCUAAACCGGGGUGGGCAUAGCCAGUGUGUGACACACCCGGCCCGCGGGCUGCAAGUUAUCCCUCUUAAUGGGAUAACACCUCUUUCUCCCAUUUGAAUGAUGUCAUCUCAGUGAUGUCAGCAGGAGACAUGCCUUCACCAGAGCCUCUCUUAAGAAGAGAAGUAAUGCCUGAAAAAGACUUCUCCCUCUUUCUUAAAUAUGUGAUGGCUGGCUGGAUGAAUUAAGCUUCUUAAGGCAAAAGGUUAGAAUACCUUCCAAUCCUGCCUAUUCAGCAAAUACUUUAUCAUUCCCUUUGAUCCCACUCCAUGCUGAUCUGCUCAGACUAAUCCAUUCUGCACUGUUUUAGGGAUCUUGAAAUAAGGAGCGUGCUGACCACAAAAGAUUUGAGUAGCUGUAGCUUUGUGGUGGUUUGUACUUCACAUCAACAAUGGUUACGUGUUAUGUGUUUUCUGCAGAAGCAUGCCAAUUUCUUGGAAGCAUUGCAAUUGUGGGUUAAUUUUUUAAUACAAAGUGUUGAGUGCCUCAAAGCUAGAUCAAUCCUUCAGGACUUCAUGUUCAUUCCUUAAAAUUUACUUCAAUAGAAUUUUAUAGAGAUCAUUGGAAAGGAUGUUUGUGUAUGCAUAUUUUAGAAUCUAGGGUCCAAAUUAUAUUCGAUUUCAAGUACUGAUUUCAGAUUGACACUACUUUAAAUUUGUACUUGAGUGAGCGUUGUAGACUUUACAGAUGCAAAAAGGAACAGCUUUGCAGAACAAUCAGCAUUUAAGCAUGUUUGAGUCUUUCUCAGGGCCAAAUAUUUUGCCAUAUCUUUGCUUCUGGAAACUCUUCAAGUCACCCCUGUAAUGAAAAUUCCAAUUUGCAAAAAAGUUACAACUUGAAUGGUGACUUAUGACCUUUUUGCACAUUUACAACCAUUGCAGUACUUCAUGUGAUCAAAAUUCAGACACUUGGCAACUGACUCAUAUUCAUGAGAUGGUUCCAGUGUCCUAGGGGUCAUGUAAUCACCUUUUGCAACCUUAAAAGCAAAGUCAAUGGGAAAGCCAGAUUCACUUAACAUCUGUGUUACUAACUUAACAACUGCAGUGGUUCGGUUAACUGCUGCAAGAAAGCUCGUAAAAUGGGACAAAAUGCACUUCAAACAAAUGCUUCACUUAGCAACAGAAAUUUUGGGCUCAGUUGUGUUCAUUAAGUAGAAAACUACCUGUAAUUCAUUUUGGAUUCUUGGUUUAUUCUCCCUUAGUUAUAAGACUGACUUGUAGAAAGGCUCCCACAACUGAAAAUAGCAAUAUGCAUUCUUGCCCAUAGUGUAGUCCCAUUCAGAAAGAAAAAUGCUGAGAAUGAGCAAUUUAGAGAAGCCAUUCUCCUCAAGCUCCGCUUUCAACAUAUAAAUAGCAAUACGCUUGGCUGAAACUUUGAAAUUGAUCUACACUCCAGCUAAAAAUAUUAGGUCAAUCUGGUUCCCUUGGUUUUUAUUAUGAUAUGGUUUCAGUAGCACUAAAUCAUCUUAAAUCUAGGCACUUGGUUUACGUGGGAUUUGCAAUAGACUUUCAUAUGAUUAGAAAUUAAACACCUACUUGAAUUCUUAAAGCUUUUCAGGGCUUUGUACUAAAAUUAAUAAAAUGAUUGAAUAUGACAAGCCCUUUUUAAAUAAUUCCCCUAAUUCUAUCUCAACUGCUCAAUUUGGACUCCAUCACCAGUCUUUUGGCAAUCUAGGAGGGCAAUUGAUCAAGAGUUCAGUAACAAUAAUGAACAUUUGAUUAUAAUAAUUAACAAUUAACUGGAUGCCAUGUACUUUCUUUCAGCUUGGUGGACUGCAUAUCGUACAGAUUUGAUUUAACCUGUAUAACUUGAUUAGGCAGCUGCCAUUCAAUCUGGGGAGAAGAGCUAUUCCACAAUUCUGCUGAUAUUUUUUUUUCCUCCUGUUCAUUUGUCAUUCGCUGAUGCUGCUUGAAGGCUAAACAUGCUGUUAUUGGCUUAAUCAACUUUCACCAGCAUACUUCAUCAUCUAACAACUGCAGUCUAAACUUGCAUUAUAAGCAUCAUGGGACUUGUAUGUUUGGGCAUUAGCACAUUGUGUGCAACAGCUUGGGUGACACCAGCGAUUAUGAUUUCUUCACAAGCCACAUGUAAAUCUCUGUAGCACUGCACUUCCUUUUAAAUGCCUGGUUGUAAUGGUUUUACAAGCUUGUAAAGUUCAAUAUUAUGGUGGGUCCCACCACAUUUUGGAUUGUUGGGAUUUUUUAAACCUAAAAUGGUUUCACAACUUGUAAUACUUGCCUCUUCUGUUUUGUUUUUAUUAAUUUUGGAGUUACUCUACUUAGAUAUUAUUAUAUUGAUCUAUUAAAGAAAGAAAAUCUGUAAGAUUUAAAUAUGAGAUCAAAUCAUCAUCAUCUAGUCCUGUGCAGGGACAUUGGGCAGCAAGUAUUUUCCAACAGUUUCAAUCAUUCACAACAUCUUCAGCAUCCGAAGGGACAUUAAUGAUCUUAACUUCCUUAAGGGUUUUGUGUCAAGUUUUCUGAGGCUAGCCUUGUUUCCUCUUUCCUCCAGGAGGUUUCCAACAUAGUGUAAUUUUUGGAUGCUGGUCUUUAGGCAUAUGUAAUGCAUGGCCCACAAGCCACAUUUGAAGUUCAUUCCCAGUUCUCAAUAGGUAUUCUAAAUCUGAUCUUUGUAGGACCUCUUCAUUAGUAAGGCGGUCACAAUAUGAAGAAGUGGAGGAGUCUUCUCAAGCAGCAUUGUUAGAAAACACUUAACCAUUUAAUCAUUCUUGGUUGUACACUUCCAUGUUUCACAAGCAUAUAUUGCAGUUGGUAUAACAACACUCUUGAAGAGUUUUUAUCUAUGUAGUAAUACUUAUGGCUGCCGCAGAUCGAAUAGGGCGCAUGCAUUGAAACACAUCCACUGCCAUUCCAAUUUGAUAGUUAAUGUCCUUAUCUGUAUCUCCAUUGAUAGACAUAAUGCUGCCAAGAUAAAUAAAUUGUUGGACUUAUUCUAGAGCCUGACCAUGGAUUGUUAUAAGCAUAUUAUCCUGAGCGCUUCAGACUUGCGUGAACUUGGUCUUCUCAAAAUUUAUACAUAAGCCAAUCUUUUUGGCCUCAUUAUCUAAACUGGUGGUCAUUUCUUGCAAGCACACCUUUGUUUCACCAAGCAGUGUGAUAACAUCUGCAAAAUAUAAAUCUGUUAAAGAUGGGCUGUUGCCCAUAGGAUGCUUAAAGCUAGAGUUAUCCAUAGCUAUUUGCAUAACAGUCCAUGGAGAAGAGCAAUAAGAAUGGUGAUAGUAUACAUCCCUGUCUCCUUCCUGUAUUGAUGUUAAAGAAGGCUAUGUGGUUACAUGGGUUCUCAAAAUACUCCACACAAUUUGUGCAAGCAAAGUGUAGGGAGAGGAGUUAUUUUCCUUUAUUUCUACAAAAGGAGAGCUGCUGUAACCACUUUUGAGGAGUGAUGGGAAAUUAACUGGUGCGUUACUGCCAUAAUGGCAGUCCAGGUGCCUUUUUUUUUUAAUGUCUUACAAUGCCAAGUGGACUUUGAAAAGCGAAAUUGUAAGAGUGUUGAUGCUUUUGAAAUGGAAGAUUCCUAAGUACACCGUGGACAGCUUAUGAUUUUUGGAUUUGCUGAUUGAAAAGGGUUGGAUAUCAUAAUAAGUGAACUAUGUCCUUGAUGGGGAAGAAGUGAAAAAAAAGUAUGUUUGUGCCUACUAUAAGAAAGAUCAGAAGUUGCUUCUUUAAACUUUUUAAAUAUUUCAUUUUUUUUCUACUGCACUUCUUUUUCUUAUUGUCAUUUUCUAUAUUUUCCCAUAUUUAUCUUUUAUCUAUGUUCAAAAAAAUUCUAAUGAAAAUCAUACUUAAAAGAGAAUGCUGUGGACAGGCAAGAAUAUAAACCAAUGAAGCAUUGGACAAAUCAAUCCAGAAUUCUCACUCAAGACACAAGUGGCCAGCUUCAAUUUGUCAUUGUUUGGCCACAUUAUGUGCAGACCCAGCUCUCUGGAAAUAGCUAUAAUCCUGGGAAAGGUGGAAGGAACGAGAAGAAGAGGAGCAAGGUGGAUGGACUUAACUCUAGUGACAACGGAUGCACUGUUGGAGUCCCUGAAAAAUCAGGUUGGGUACAGAUCGCCCUGGAAAAAAAUCUGUCUACAUGGUUCCUAAGAGUUGAUGCUGACCUGAUGGGAUCUAAUCCAUCAACAAUGCAAAGGGCAUCUUGAAACAUUAUAUUGUCUGUGUAGAAAACUGAUAACAGGCACCUUAACCAGAAAAAGAAACUGGAGAAUAUUCAAAAGAAAAACCUACAAAGUGAGGUUAAAAACUCUGAAAAAUGUUUGUGAAAUUUCAAUUGAACCCUAAGAAACUUAAAAAGAAUGCAAUAGGUAGAUUGGAGGACUGGUGGACUAGUUUAGACAUAUUAUUUUCUUGUCUUUUGGUUGGCCUCAGAAUAAAAUGGGGUUACUUUCUCCCUUUUCUCAUC